rnacentral:rRNA from 1 species
AUGGCGUUAAUUGAGAUUCAAGAAGCAAAUCAAUCACUGUUUGAGCUAGCGGAUACUUCGAAUCACUCUGAUUUACUUACUCGCGAUUUGGUGAAUUUACGGGUCAUUCAUGAAAAUGAAUUUCAGAGUCCCUUCUCUGCGUGUGGGUUUAUUAAUCAGUAUUUGGAGGAGGUAAAACUGACGAAGAUUCAGAAACAAACAGUACAGCCACGACGCAGGCAGUUCAGGUUCAGAAGAAGUGGUUGCCUCCUGAGACGGUGUUGGCCAAUUGAAAAUGUUGAUGCUGGGGCAUUGCAGAGCACAUAA